rnacentral:misc_RNA from 1 species
CGAGCGUCAUUACAACCCUCAAGCUCUGCUUGGUAUUGGGCCCCACCGGCAACGGUAGGCCUUAAAAUCAGUGGCGGUGCCAUUUGGCUUCAAGCGUAGUAAUUCUUCUCGCUUUGGAGAUCCAGGUGUGUGCUUGCCAGCAACCCCCAAUUUUUUAAAAGGUUGACCUCGGAUCAGGUAGGGAUACCCGCUGAACUUAA